UUCAACAACACAUGCACACUGCAGACAAUAAUUUUUUUUGUCAACUGUUUCUUUCUAUUAGAAAGGCCCAAAUGGGCAUACUACAAAGGAGUUACAGACAUCCCAAUUCUCAUUAAUACAAACUCGACCUAACCAUAAACCUAAUUUAUUGACCCAAUAUUUCUUUCGACUUAUUACACGCGUCUCUUCGAAGUAAGUCUUCAACACGCGUCCUUUUAUGUGUUUACAUGAGAUGAGACGAUAGCCAAAUUAGGGUGACACAUGUCCCUGAACACCACGCGUGGGAUGAGAAAUCUGAGACGCAACCUCACCGGCGACCCGCCGUCUUCCUGAGCUUUGUCUCCGGGAACUAUUUGAAACUCCUUUGCUUCUUAUCUUUCGUUCAACCGUCACUUUAGUUAGAACCACCAUCAACGCUGUCGGAUAAUAAACCUGGGAAUACUCAGUUGAGAUCUAAUAGAAGAUUUUACCGGACCACCUUCGAUAUAGAGAAGAUGCUGAUUCAUCUAGAUCUCCAUCAUAACCAACCAAAAUCAAUCCAACAUCACAUCUUCCUUUCCAUCUAGGAUACUUUACCCAUAAACUGAUUUAGCGACUCCAACAUAAGAGAGAGUAAAGAUUGAUUCUUUUUGGAAAGGAGAAAGUGCAAUCCGAGAGAGAAGAGGAGAGUCUUUCUAAACGAACAUGAUUUUGCUAACGAACUGCGAAAGAUAAGGAUUACGGUAUUUACAAUGAUCCCUUUGGAAGAACAUGGAAACAUCUUUGAAACUUUGCUUCGACUGAUAUCGGAUACACCACAAAAGUCGCCACUGCGAAGACUAGAUCCGCUAAUCGGUAUAAAAGAGAUUCGCCGAGCGAAAGUUAUCUACAAACAAAAAACAAAAAAUAAAAGGGGUUGGUGCUUUGAUAAAAGUUCUAGAGGUUUUUUUUUUUUUGGGUCAGACAGUAAUUAUUAAUUUUUUUGAAACAAAAUCGAAGUGAAAAAUAAACAACCGUUUCAACCUUUUCUUCUUCUACUUUCAU
rnacentral:lncRNA from 1 species